rnacentral:rRNA from 1 species
ACGAACGCUGGCGGCGUGCUUAACACCUGCCAGUCGCACGGAAAGGCCCUGCUUUUGUGGGGUGCUCGAGUGGCGAACGGGUGAGUAACACGUGAGUAACCUGCCCUUGACUUUGGGAUAACUUCAGGAAACUGGGGCUAAUACCGGAUAGGAGCUCCUGCUGCAUGGUGGGGGUUGGAAAGUUUCGGCGGUUGGGGAUGGACUCGCGGCUUAUCAGCUUGUUGGUGGGGUAGUGGCUUACCAAGGCUUUGACGGGUAGCUGGCCUGAGAGGGUGACCGGCCACAUUGGGACUGAGAUACGGCCCAGACUCCUACGGGAGGCAGCAGUGGGGAAUAUUGCACAAUGGGCGGAAGCCUGAUGCAGCAACGCCGCGUGCGGGAUGACGGCCUUCGGGUUGUAAACCGCUUUCGCCUGUGACGAAGCGUGAGUGACGGUAAUGGGUAAAGAAGCACCGGCUAACUACGUG